rnacentral:rRNA from 1 species
GACGAACCGUGCGAACGUUGUUCGGAAUCACUGGGCUUAAAGGGCGCGUAGGCGGGCCAUCAAGUCCGGGGUGAAAUCCUCCAGCUUAACUGGAGAAGUGCCUCGGAUACUGACGGCCUCGAGGAUGGUAGGGGCAUCUGGAACGACCGGUGGAGCGGUGAAAUGCGUUGAUAUCGGUCGGAACUCCGGUGGCGAAGGCGAGGUGCUGGACCAUUUCUGACGCUGAGGCGCGAAAGCCAGGGGAGCAAACGGG